GGGUUGUGAGGUUAAGCGACCAAGCGUACACGGUGGAUGCCCUGGCAGUCAGAGGCGAUGAAGGACGUGCUAAUCUGCGAAAAGCGCCGGCGAGGUGAUAUGAACCCUUGACCCGGCGAUGUCCGAAUGGGGAAACCCGGUGCAUUACGGUGCAUCAUCGUUUGAUGAAUACAUAGUCAAACGAGGCGAACCGGGGGAACUGAAA
rnacentral:rRNA from 1 species